GAUGAAGAACGUAGCGAAAUGCGAUAAGUAAUGUGAAUUGCAGAAUUCAGUGAAUCAUCGAAUCUUUGAACGCACCUUGCGCCCUUUGGCUAUUCCGAAGGGCAUGCCUGUUUGAGUAUCAUGAAAACCUCAACUCUCAUGGCUUGCCAUGAUGAGCUUGGACUCUGGGGGUCUUGCUGGCUUUACGGUCAGCUCCUCUCAAAUAAAUCAGCUUGCCGGUGUUUGGUGGGAUCACAGGUGUGAUAACUAUCUACGCUUGUGGUUUUCCGCCAGGUAACCUUCAGCAAUGGAGGUUCGCUGGAGCUCAUAAAUGUCUCUCCUCAGCGAGGACAGACUUUGACCGUUUGAUCUCAAAUCAGGUAGGACUACCCGCUGAACUUAAGCAUAUCAAUAAGCGGAGGA
rnacentral:misc_RNA from 1 species